rnacentral:rRNA from 1 species
UAAUACAGAGGUCUCAACCGUUGUUCGGAUUCAUUGGGCGUAAAGGGUGCGUAGGCGGUCGCGUAAGUCGGAUGUGAAAUCUCAGGGCUCAACCCUGAAACUGCAUUCGAUACUGCGUGGCUAGGGUACUGGAGAGGAGACUGGAAUUUACGGUGUAGCAGUGAAAUGCGUAGAUAUCGUAAGGAAGACCAGUGGCGAAGGCGAGUCUCUGGACAGUUACCGACGCUGAGGCACGAAGGCCAGGGGAGCAAACGGGAUUAGAUACCCCGGUAGUCCUGGCAGUAAACGGUGUACGUUUGGUGUAGGCGGAUUCGACCCCGCCUGUGCCGGAGCUAACGCGUUAAACGUACCGCCUGGGAAGUACGGUCGCAAGAUUA